CAGAGACCACCACACCCACAGACCAGCAGACCACCCCCCAGCCCCACCACUGACAGAGACCACCACACCCACAGCCCCACCACUGACAGAGACCACCACACCCACAGCCCCACCACUGACAGAUACCACCACAGGCACAGUCACACCACUGACAACCACCACCACAGGGACCACCACACCCAGAGCCACGCCACUGACAGAGACCCCCAGAAAAACCACUACAGCCACAGUCAUACCACGGACAGAGACCACCACACCCACAGUCACACCACUGACAGAGACCACCACAGAAACCGCCACACGCACAGUCACACCACUGACAAAGACUACAACAGAAACCACCACAGUCACAGCCACUCCACUGACAGAGACAACCAGAGAGACUACCAUAUCCAUAACCCCAAUACAGACGGAGACCACCACACGCACAGCCCCACCACUGACAGAGACCACCUCACGCACAGCCCCACCACCGACAGAGACCACGACAGCCACACCACUGACAACCACCACCACAGAGACCACCACACCCAGAGCCAUGCCACUGACAGAGACCACCACACCCACAGUCACACCACUGACAGAGACCACUACAAAAACCACUACACCCACAGCCACACCACUGACAAAGACUACAACAGAAAGCACCACAGUCACAGCAACUCCACUGACAGAGACAAUCAGAGAGACUACCACACCCACAGCCACACCACUGACAAAGACCACCACAGCCACACCACUGACAAAGACCACCACAGCCACACCAUUGACAAAGACCACCACAGCCACACCACCGACAACCACCACCACAGGGACCACCACACCCACAGCCCCACCACUGACAGAGACCACCAGAGCCACAUCACUGACAACCACCACCACAGAGACCACCACACCCACAGCCCCACCACUGACAGAGACCACCACAGCCACAUCACUGACAACCACCCCCACAGAAACCGCCACACGCACAGUCACACCACUGACAAGGACUACAACAGAAUUUACCAUAGUCACAGCCACUCCACUGACAGAGACAACCAGAGAGACUACCAUAUCCACAGCCCCAAUUCUGACAGAGACCACCACACACACAGCCCCACCACCGACAGAGACCACCGCAGCCACACCACUGACAACCAUCACCACAGAGACCACCACACACACAGCCCCACCACUGACAGAGACCACUACAAAAACCACUACACCCACAGCCACACCACUGACAAAGACCACCACACCCACAGUCACACCACUGACAGAAACCACCACAGAAACCGCCACACGCACAGUCACACCACUGACAAAGACUACAACAGAAAGCACCACAGUCACAGCCACUCCACUGACAGAGACAACCAGAGAGACUACCACACCCACAGCCCCACCACUGACAGAGACCACCACAGCCACACCACUGACAACCACCACCACAGGGACCACCACACCCACAGCCCCACCACUGACAGCGACCACCACAGCCACACCACUGACAACCACCACCACAGGGACCACCAUACCCACAGCCCCACCACUGACAGAGACCACCACAGCCACACCACUGACACCAGACAGGAACCACACAGAGCAAGAAAAACCACUACACCCACAGUCAUACCACUGACAGAGACCACCACACCCACAGUCACACCACUGACAGAGACCACCACAGAAACCGCCACACGCACAGUCACACCACUGACAAAGACUACAACAGAAACCACCACAGUCACAGCCACUCCACUGACAGAGACAACCAGAGAGACUACCAUAUCCACAGCCCCAAUACUGACGGAGACCACCACACGCACAGCCCCACCACCGACAGACACCACCACCCUCACAGCCCCGCCACUGACAGAGACCACCACACCCACAGCCCCACCACUGACAGAGACCACCACACGCACAGCCCCACCACUGACAGAGACCUCCACAGCCACACCACUGACAACCACCACCACAGAGACCACCACACCCACAGCCCCACCACUGACAGAGACCACCACAGCCACACCACUGACAACCACCACCACAGAGACCACCACACCCACAGCCCCACCACUGACAGAGACCACCACAGGCACAGUCACACCACUGACAACCACCACCACAGGGACCACCACACCCAGAGCCACGCCACUGACAGAGACCACCACACCCACAGUCACACCACUGACAACCACCACCACACCCACAGCCCCAUCACUGACAACCACCACCACACCCACAGCCAUACCACUGACAAAGGCUACAACAGAAACCACCACAGUCACAGCCACUCCACUGACAGAGACAAUCAAAGAGACUACCAUAUCCACAGCCCCAAUACUGACAGAGACCACCACACGCACAGCCCCACCACUGACAGAGACCACCACAGCCACACCACUGACAACCUCCACCACAGAGACCACCACACCCACAGCCCCACUACUGACAGAGACCACCACAGCCACACCACUGACAACCACCACCACAGAGACCACCACACCCACAGCCCCACCACUGACAGAGACCACCACAGCCACACCACUGACCAUCACCAGCACAGAGACCACCACACCCACUGCCCCACUACUGACAGAGACCACCACAGCCACACCACUGACAACCACCACCACAGAGACCACCACACCCACAGCCCCACCACUGACAGAGAUCACAGCCACACCACUGACAACCACCACCACAGAGACCACCACACCCACAGCCCCACAACUGACAGAGACCACCACAGCCACACCACUGACGACCACCACACCCACAGCCCCACCACUGACAGAGACCACCACAGCCACACCACUGACAACCACCACCACAGGGACCACCACACCCAGAGCCACGCCACUGACAGAGACCCCCAGAAAAACCACUACACCCACAGUCAUACCACUGACAGAGACCACCACAGAAACCGCCACACGCACAGUCACACCACUGACAAAGACUACAGCAGAAACCACCACAGUCACAGCCACUCCACUGACAGAGACAACCAGAGAGACUACCAUAUCCACAGCCCCAAUACUGACAGAGACCACCACACGCACAGCCCCACCACUGACAGAGACCACCACAGCCACACCACUGACAACCACCACCACGGAGACCACCACACCCAUAGCUCCACCACUCACAGAGACCACCACAGCCACACCACUGACCACCACCAUCACAGAGACCACCACACCCACAGCCCCACCACUGACAGAGACCACCAAAAAAACCACCACACCCACAGUCAUACCACUGACAGAGACCACCACACCCACAGUCACACCACUGACAGAAACCACCACAGAAACCGCCGCACGCACAGUCACACCACUGACAAAGACUACAACAGAAACCACCACAGUCACAGCCUCUCCACUGACAGAGACAACCAGAGAGACUACCAUAUCCACAGCCCCAAUACUGACGGAGACCACCACACGCACAACCCCACCACCGACAGACACCACCACCCCCACAGCCCCACCACUGACAGAGACCACCACACGCACAGCCCCACCACUGACAGAGACCACCACAGCCACACCACUGACAACCACCACCACAGAGACCACCACACCCACAGCCCCACCACUGACAGAGACCACCACAGGCACAGUCACACCGACAACCACCACCACAGGGACCACCACACCCAGAGCCACGCCACUGACAGAGACCACCACACCCACAGUCACACCACUGACAACCACCACCACACCCACAGCCCCAUCACUGACAACCACCACCACACCCACAGCCACACCACUGACAAAGGCUACAACAGAAAUCACCACAGUCACAGCCACUCCACUGACAGAGACAAUCAGAGAGACUACCAUAUCCACAGCCCCAAUACUGACAGAGACCACCACACACACAGCCCCACCACUGACAGAGGCCACCACAGCCACACCACUGACAACCACCAUCACAGAGACCACCACACCCACAGUCACACCACUGACAGAGACCACCAUACCCACAGCCCCACCACUGACAGAGACCACUACAAAAACCACUACACCCAUAGCCACACCACUGACAAAGGCUACAACAGAAACCACCACAGUCACAGCCACUCCAGUGACAGAGACAAUCAGAGAGACUACCACACCCACAGCCACACCACUGACAGAGACCCAUACAUCCACAGUCACACCACUGACAACCACCACCACAGGGACCACCAGACGCACAGUCACACCACUGACAAAGACUACAACAGAAUCCACCACAGUCACAGCCACUCCACUGACAGAGACAACCAGAGAGACUACCAUAUCCACAGCCCCACCACUGACAGAGACCACCACAGCCACACCACUGACAACCACCACCACAGAGACCACCACACACACAGCCCCACCACUGACAGAGACCACCAGAAAAACCACCACACCCACAGUCAUACCUCUGACAGAGACCAGCACAGAAACCUCCACACGCACAGUCACACCACUGACAGAGACUACAACAGAAACCACCACAGCCACACCAGUGACAAAUACCACCACAGGGAUCACCACACCCACAGACACACCACUGACAAAGACUACCACACCCACAGUCCCACCACUGACAAAGACCACCACAGGUACCACUCAAGCCCAAAACUCGGUCAGCACAGUGAACUUCACAGCCCCAAUAUCACACUCUACUUCAGCCAUCCUCCCUGUGACCACUUCUCCAGCACUCAGCACUAUCUCCCAUACAUCCACCAGUAGAGGCACUGGGACACCCAUGACACGCACUACAACAGCCGCCCCCACUAGGCCACACAUGCCAUUCACCACUCACUCCCGUGCCACCGUUUCUGUCCAUACCACCUCUCACACAACAGCUCUGCCAGCAGGAACAUCCUUCCGGCCCACCACCACCCAUUCCACCCCAUCACAUCCAGAGACCCUUCCCGUCCACGUGUCAACAUCUGUGACUUCCACCUCUCACCGAGUCAUCACCCCAACUGAGUCCCAUGCUACCUACUCCACCACAAAGCCUACUGGCACCCCAACGCCAUUGACACACAUCCUGGUCACAUCCACGGCACCCACAUCCAUGUCCUCACUGUCGACAACAACAACAGGGAGCACCACACCCACAACCCUGCCACUCACAAAGACCACAACAGGGACCACUCAGGCCCAGAGCCCGGUCAGCACGGUGCCAGCACAAAGCUCUAGCUUCCCCUCUCCAUCAUCUUCUCCGGCUUCUCUGAACCCAAGCCGAAGUCCUCUAACCACUUCUGUUUCCGUGUCGACUCUGCCCCAUUACCCCCCUUCUUCCACUGUCUCGACCCCCUCCUCCUCGCCCACUGCUUCCUCUCCUCCUCCUCACGGGUCCUCGAACACCUCUCCUUUGAUAUCAUCUUCCCCCUCCCCUUCUGCAGUCUCCACUUCACACAGCAUCCCAAGUGUCAGCUCAGCUCCACACCGUCCCUCGCCCUCUGCACCUCUGACCGAGUCACAGACAGCAUCCCUGCUGACCAGCCCCCCUUCCCCCGCCGCCUCCACACCCAUCAGGCCCUCCCUCUCACCUCCAUCAGCUCCGACGCUGUCCCCUGCCCCCACUGUUAGUACCGUCAUCCUGUCUACACCCCGGACCACAGUCAGCAGCCCCACCUCCUCCGUCCCGUCCUCUCAGUCCACCACCGCACAGGCCACCUCUCUCACCACCCAAACCCCCACCCACGGCCUCCUGUCUUCUACGCUGGGCGUGACAGCCGUCCCAAGUUCUCCAGCCACCAACCUCACCACCAGACAGCCGAGUACCACCAGGCUGCAGACUACCGUGUUCCUGGCCAGCUCCAUCACUGCACACGAAAGCUCCUUCCUCCCCACCGCCGGGUCUGUGUCCACAGAGAGCCAGUCCAUCUCCACCUUUGCUACAUCUCUUCCCAGCUCUGCAGGUACUGAGACAGGCAGACCAGAGACACCUCCGUCCACAGGUCGGUGCUGGGCCAGGGAGGAAGGUGGCGAGGGAGGCCGGGGCUGAGCAGGGCUCCACCAGGGCCAGGGCUGGAAUCUGCCUCACCCUCUGAGAAACCCUCGACCUUGAGGGACUCCCAAGGCAGCCAGGUUUCAGUAAAAAAAAAAAAAGAGAGAGAAUUAACGUCAGGCUUUGUUUCUAUGCAAAGCUGUGAGGUCUGACCUCGGUGGGGCUCAGACGAGGGGAGAAGGCCUGGGGCCCAGGGUGGGGGCCCAGGGGAGACACCACUGUGGGCAGGUGCCCACAUGGCCCCGUUCAGAUCAUCUAAGCAGUCAGGCAGCUGGCAGCCUUCCCUCGGCAGAGCCAGCACCACCCACUGUGCCGCACAACAAGGGGUUCAAAACCCACGCCCUAGGGCCAGGUAUGUCAGCUCCUGCUCUCGAGGGGGCAGGUGCGGAGCCCCCAGAGGCCACGCCCCGGGGCUGCUGCCUGACGCCCGCCUCUCCACGCCCAGGGGCCUGCAGCGUGAAGGAGUCGGAGGAAGAAGUCACUUUCCAGGGGUGCACGGCCAACAUCACGGUGACCCGCUGCGAGGGUGUGUGCGCCUCCUCGGCCAGGUGAGCCAUCGGCCCCACCCUGCCUGACAGAGACUCUUCUCAUAGAAGCUAGGGAAGACCCGCCGAGAGCUCCCAGCUCCAGCAGUGUGCCUCCCCGUCAGGGCACCCCGGCCCCCCCACACACACCUGUCUGCGCCACACCUGCUGGAGCGGGGGAGCUCAGAAACGGGAGCCAGCCCCUCCCUGCAGGCCCAGGCUGGGACCCUGGCGCCCACCUCCCCACGGGCCGGGGAGGGGCACGCUGAGGCGGCUGCCCUGACGCAUGCUCCCCCCACCGCUCCUCUGCAGCUUCGACAUGGACACCAUGCAAGUAGCCACCACCUGCAGCUGCUGCCGCCCUGUCAGCUCCUACGAGGCGGAGCUCGUGCUGCCCUGCACGGACCCUGCGGCGUGGGGGCAGCAGCUGGUGCUCACGGUGCAAGUGUUCAGCAGCUGUGCGUGCUGCCGCCAGCGCUGUGGAGACUAGAGCUCCAUCCACAAAACCGCCCGACACGCUGGGCCCCGCAGCCCCUUCCGAGGCACAGCCGUGGCCUCCGAGAGCCCUCGGAGGUGGCUCACCCGGGCCGCCGGAGAGAAAGGGGGUGCGGGCGGGGGUCCUGCAGACCCCGACGGGCCCCAGCAGGCUGCACGGGACUGGCUGGCCUCCGGGGCCACACAGGGCGCUGCCUGCCAUGCCCACUGCUCGUGCACAGCCUCCAGUCCUGCUGGGACUAAGACCGGGGGCAGAGCAGCACGGAAGGCUGUCCAGAAGGGGCUCCUGGGGAGGCCGGGCCCCCGAGCAGAGGGUCGGGGAGAGACACAGGUCACAGCAUGCAGAGGGAAGCGAAGGGGGGCACCCCACCUGCCUGCCGACAGGGCUCACCCUGGCGAGGGGGCACCCGGGCACCACACCCUGGCGAACAGACGGCAAUAAACUGGCCCUGGUCAAAGCACAAAGGCUCGCAGACUCCUGUUGGCUCCCGCGCCCGCGCACUCCUAAGUUCCCAGACCCACUCCGGGUCCACGGCACUGGCCCAACACCAGUCUAGGCCCAGAAG
rnacentral:lncRNA from 1 species